rnacentral:snRNA from 9 species
AUACCUACCUGGCGUCGGGAUACCGUGAUCAUGCAGGCGGUUCCCCCGGGGUGCGGCUGCUCCAUUGCACAGCGGAGUGAUUGACCCUUGCGAUUAUUUUUAUAUUUUAUAAGUUUCACUUCUACCGUGUGUGACAUACACACAUUUUUUUUUAGGCAGACGGGCAUACGACUCACCUGA